GCAGAAAGCAGUGGCCUAUUGGCUAAGCCAAGUAAUUUGGCCAUGUGGCACAUGCAGGAAAUCCGAUGUGCUUCAACAUCCGGGGAACGUAAUCAUAGACAUCUGGUGUCAAAAGGAACCAAGCUAAACAAAUAAAACUCACUUAUGUGGUUACAAGUCUGAAGGCCUAAAAUGCUACUUUCAUUGCUUCCUGUGUCAUUAAUAUACUGCUUCAUCCACC